rnacentral:rRNA from 1 species
CCUACGGGAGGCAGCAGUGGGGAAUAUAGGACAAUGGGCGCAAGCCUGAUCCAGCCAUGCCGCGUGAGUGAUGAAGGCCCUAGGGUUGUAAAGCUCUUUUGUGCGGGAAGAUAAUGACGGUACCGCAAGAAUAAGCCCCGGCUAACUUCGUGCCAGCAGCCGCGGUAAU